GGGGUGCAAGAACACCUCGCCAUACAGUCCAAGAGUGAUGAUUCUCUUAUAUGCAAGAGGAAAAUACUUGACACAUGACGCAUGAAUAAAAUCUUCAACUCGACCCUAACUAUUUCAGUGGAGCUUGUGGCACAAAGAAUGACCAUUACGUAGUCUCACAUUCUCAGCAUAUAUUCUCCGAACCAUAAUUUAAUCUUGAACAGCAGACUAGAAUUUUGUCUUGCAAUAUUGAGUGAUUACAGGAACCAUCCAACUAAUAGAAAUCGUCAAUGGAAAACAAGUUGACAGCAACACCUUUUCUAUCUGCCAUCAUGAUAAUAUGUUGUGCAAAUGUACACACCGGAUGAUGUAAAAUUUAGAGGUAAGAGUCUUCACCUCCACAAUAGAUUACACCCAAUCAUUUUUACAUUUGUUGCACUUCAAGCAUUGAGUACCUGCCUACAUCGCCAUUUCUGCUUGUAAUGCUGCAAGUUCAUCUUCUUCAGCUGUAUUUUUCUGUGGAGCAGGCCGAACCU